GAUAAAAAAAAAAACUCCCCAAACACCUAGUUCUGAAUCGGCAACACACCCAACACUUCUAUAAAUCGCCGCUUGAAUUAGGAGUUGUCGGUUUUGUAGUUCCGUAUACGCAGAGUAUAUCGAUAAGACUUCUCUUUUGGCGCUUUCCUUCGAGAGGUUUGCGUCAAGUGUCACUGAAUGAGCAAAGCACGGAAAUGGAUGUGUAGCCCAACUGUUCGAUGAAAUUUCCCAGUGACUACUCGAUUGGUCGAAAGGGG
rnacentral:misc_RNA from 1 species